GACGAACGCUGGCGGCGUGCUUAACACAUGCAAGUCGAACGGAAAGGCCCUGCUUUUGUGGGGUGCUCGAGUGGCGAACGGGUGAGUAACACGUGAGUAACCUGCCCUUGACUUUGGGAUAACUUCAGGAAACUGGGGCUAAUACCGGAUAGGAGCUCCUGCUGCAUGGUGGGGGUUGGAAAGUUUCGGCGGUUGGGGAUGGACUCGCGGCUUAUCAGCUUGUUGGUGGGGUAGUGGCUUACCAAGGCUUUGACGGGUAGCCGGCCUGAGAGGGUGACCGGCCACAUUGGGACUGAGAUACGGCCCAGACUCCUACGGGAGGCAGCAGUGGGGAAUAUUACACAAUGGGCGGAAGCCUGAUGCAGCAACGCCGCGUGCGGGAUGACGGCCUUCGGGUUGUAACCCGCUUUCGCCUGUGACGAAGCGUGAGUGACGGUAAUGGGUAAAGAAGCACCGGCUAACUACGUG
rnacentral:rRNA from 1 species